rnacentral:rRNA from 1 species
GACGAACGCUGGCGGCGUGCUUAACACAUGCAAGUCGAACGGAAAGGCCCUGCUUUUGUGGGGUGCUCGAGUGGCGAACGGGUGAGUAACACGUGAGUAACCUGCCCCUGACUUUGGGAUAACUUCAGGAAACUGGGGCUAAUACCGGAUAGGAGCUCCUGCUGCAUGGUGGGGGUUGGAAAGUUUCGGCGGUUGGGGAUGGACUCGCGGCUUAUCAGCUUGUUGGUGGGGUAGUGGCUUACCAAGGCUUUGACGGGUAGCCGGCCUGAGAGGGUGACCGGCCACAUUGGGACUGAGAUACGGCCCAGACUCCUACGGGAGGCAGCAGUGGGGAAUAUUGCACAAUGGGCGGAAGCCUGAUGCAGCAACGCUGCGUGCGGGAUGACGGCCUUCGGGUUGUAAACCGCUUUCGCCUGUGACGAAGCGUGAGUGACGGUAAUGGGUAAAGAAGCACCGGCUAACUACGUG